rnacentral:siRNA from 1 species
UUCACUGGGUCGCGAGUUAAUGGU